rnacentral:lncRNA from 1 species
AACGUCACCGAGCUCGGCGCAGCGAGCACGCCGCUCGUCGCCGGGGACGUGGACACGUACUACACCGUGGUCCUCGACUUCGUCAAGGUCGGCAACAAGACGGUGGCUUCGGCGGCAAGCUCCCGCAUCACCGUGGACUCCGGCAAUGCAAAAAUAAGCUUUGUUACUCCUGCAAAUUGCAAGAAGCAAACCGAACAAGCGUUUCUGGACUUGACGCUGGAGUUCGGCGGCGGCGGCGGCCGUGCAGCGGUGGCGCUGAAGCCGGAGAACGCGUCCGUGACGGUGCAGGAGGGGACGUUGUGCCUGGCAAUGGUGGCGACGACGAAGCAGCAGUCGGUGUCCAUCCUCGGGAACCUGGCGCAGCAGAACAUCCACGUCGGCUACGACCUCGACGCCGGCAUG